ensembl:miRNA
CAUCAGUCGUUUAUAUAUACCCUGUAGAAUCGAAUUUGUGUGAGCACCUCUAUUGCAAAUUCGUCUCUAGGGGGAUAUAUGGAUGAUGCAAAAAGCUU